rnacentral:tRNA from 1 species
GGUCGGGUAGCUCAGUUGGUAGAGCGUCCGCCUGAAAAGCGGGAAGUCACCGGAUCGAUACCGGUCCCGACCA